UUCUCUCUGCUGGCCCUUGCGCACAUAUAUUUUUUCCAACUUCGGUUAAUUCGGUUUAACCGAACGGUUUUCGGUUUUAAACCGAAAAAACCGAGGAGCAAAUGGUUUCUAAAAUUCAAAACUGAAACUGAAACCGAAAACUGGAAAAACCGAAAUUUCAGUUCGGUUUGGUUUUUUUGGUUUGGUUUUUGGUUUUCGGUUCGGUUUUGCACACCCUGACCAAUCACCCGCACUCCACAACCCUCACUCCCUCCUCGAUCUCUCUCCCUCAGCCACCACAAACUCUAGGUCCUCCCCUUCUACCCUGCUCUCCACCGCGCCUCCUCCUCCUCCCCUUCACCAUUCCCUCCAGCGGCAGGCACAGGGAGACGACGGCGGCGCUCGAUUUGAUCCGCCCCGCUCCCCUCCCUCUCCACUGCGCCUCGGCCUCGGCCGCCCCGUGCUCUGCCGGUGCCUGUCGGCCUCGAUCCGGCCUCGGCAGGAGGAGCUUGCCCUCGAGACAGGAGGAGGGGAGCAGCAGGAUACAGGAGCAUGGCCUUCUUCUCGCGCUGCAGCCGCCAGCCUUGUCCUGCUCGAGGAGGAGGAGCAGCAGGAGGGGCGCACCCAGCCACCCAGGUAGCCGUCGUCGAGGGCUUCUUACACCUGAACCACGAUCUCCACGGUGUUGGCGUCCAGCAACUCGAGUUCAAGGGAAGGAGAGGAUGAUGACGCCCAGACAUGGAGAGGAUCAACAGCAGCUCAAGUGCCUGCUUAUAAUGUGGUGAAGCUACAGGGAAGAGGGAGGAAGCCGGCGACAGGGUGAAGGAGCAGGCCGGCCCUCAUGGAGGCAGCGCUAUCAGCCAGCUAGGGAGGCGGUCCGACUCGCCUCUGCUAUGCCGUGAGUGGCGGCGCUACCUCUGCCUCCAGCCUCACCUCCUCUGCCAACCAUGGGAAAAUUUAGGGGAGACCCAAGGCGAGCUUCCCCUCUGUUGCAUGCACUCCUGAUCUCUAAAGAUUUCUGUAGCCUAAAUGCCUAUGUACCAUAAUAAUAAUUCAAGCGGAUGGCCAAUGCGCCUUGGUGUUUAGCGGUAUGAUGGUCGGUGAAAGUAUGUUAUAUAUAUAUUGCAAGGAUCAUAAGAUGCCUUUACACAUGAUUGUGUGAUGCUCAGAAACAUUUUGCACAGUAGAAACUUCUUGUGAAGCUUGAUUUUAUUCAGAGCCAUAUGAUUUUUUUAUAGAAACAUGUGCAGAGUAAAAUGGACACAUCUUCUGGUACAUCUGAGGACAGAGUGAUUUCUUUUCAUAGAAUGUUGUCAUCUAUAUCUUGCUGAAGUACAGAACUAUUGCACCAACGACCACAAUGGGAUGCAUCAAGCAGCCAAGACUCAGAGUGUGGUCGGGCAGCGCCAUGGGGCAGAUCUGUGCGGCGCAAGGGGUGGCAGAUGCGAAACUGAAGCUUCCCCGAACUUCGGAGCAGUCAAUUGAGCAGAUGGACACGACGAUAUGUAAUUCGUCAUAUUUAGAAUAGCUAGGAAAAGUGGAAAGUGGUUUUUUUAACCUAAGUGAAAAGUGGUUGGUUACUUCUGAAAUGGAAAUUAGUAAAAUCAUCAGAAAAAAAUAGUAACUCUUCAGCUUAAAAAUUGUAGCAAUAUUAGUGUUGGUCGGUGGAAAAUUGUGAAGUUCAGUCCCCAAGCCCUGAAUCAUAAACCUGAUUAGAGUUCUUGUCAUAUUUAGAAUAGCUCGGAAGCUAUGGAUUCGUCGUGCUAUUUCUGAUUUUUUUGGUUUCGUUCAACAGCGAACCCAGAAGGGGGAGGCUCCUGAAUAAUUCAUAGGACAGCGGCUGAAUAAUUGGAAGAAUCAUUUUGUACACACAGGAUAGUACAGACAACAUAAUGCUUAGUCAUUUUUGAAUUAGGUUCAGAUAGGUAUGGCUUAUGGGUCUUGUACUGAUAGUACUGACAAUGUUGAUUAAUCCUUCGAUGGAACUUAUUAGCAGCUUUGGCCAUAUUGUUUGAUGUGCUUAAAUAAUCAAUAUAUGAUAGUACUGUGUAUAGUAUCAGCUGCACUGAAGAUAUAAAUUCUGUUUUGUGCAAGCAGAGUGAGGAUUGGUGCUACCGCCCCUGGUAGGAGCCCAAUGUCCUAAUCGAACUACUGUCAUGGAGAGGGCAAUACUUGGAUUUGCUUCAGAUAUUGGAGAUAACGCCAUUGUGCCGAAGCUCGGAACAAUCUUCGAUACAUUGGGUGAAGCUUACGAUUUUUACAAUCUGUAUUUAUAAGAGAAAGGAUUUGGCAUUCGAUAUGGUAAAAGCUGUCUGAAUGUCGAGAGGACGUGGAAAUCUAUUGGGGAUAAUACUGGUCUUGCCGGCGUUAGUGCCCUACUCUGAUAAGGCUGCUGCAGUCUGAACCAUUCAUUGUAUCGCACGUAUGCACAGACGAUACACUGACGAUCGCACAAGCACAUCAACGUGUACAGCAGGUAUUUGAUGAAGAAUUUGAGGCAGAACAAUGUGAACCUUGCUAAAGUGCACAACAUUAGGCAGUUUCCUUGGGUUGAUGGAGAAUGUGCCUUUCACAAAAAGAGCUUCAAGGAGCUUGUGUGGCAAAAUAAGCCGCGAGCAACCGGCUGAUGAUGUUAGUUAAACGAUGGAGGUGUUUGCGGAGCUUGGUUCAAAGGAUCCUCACUUCAAAUAUCAUGUGCAUGCCGAUAAGGAGGGAAGGAUAAACGCACUCAUGUGGGAAAAUGGGGACAGUAGGCUGGUGCAAAAAAGACUGUAGCUUAUUCUCAAAUUUUCUAUCUCCAAUACUGAAUCUGGUGUGUACCGAUAAAUCAUGUAGCGUGUGAGAUCCAUCAUGCAGUUUAACUGCUAAUCCCAAUUAUGUUAUGCAUGCCCUGAAGCUGAUGAAUUUGUGUUCUCCUAUACUGAAAUGUCAAAUUGAUUGUGUGUA